rnacentral:rRNA from 1 species
CCUACGGGUGGCAGCAGUGGGGAAUAUUGGGCAAUGGGCGCAAGCCUGACCCAGCAACGCCGCGUGAAGGAAGAAGGCUUUCGGGUUGUAAACUUCUUUUCUCAGGGACGAAGAAAGUGACGGCCCCUGAGGAAUAAGCCACGGCUAACUACGUGCCAGCAGCCGCGGUAAUACGUAGGUGGCAAGCGUUAUCCGGAUUUACUGGGUGUAAAGGGCGUGUAGGCGGGAAAGCAAGUCAGAUGUGAAAACCAUGGGCUCAACCUGUGGCCUGCGUUUGAAACUGUUUUUCUUGAGUGCUGGAGAGGCAGACGGAAUUCCUAGUGUAGCGGUGAAAUGCGUAGAUAUUGGGAGGAACACCAGUGGCGAAGGCGGUCUGCUGGACAGCAACUGACGCUGAGGCGCGAAAGCGUGGGGAGCAAACAGGAUUAGAUACCCGGGUAGUC